rnacentral:rRNA from 1 species
UUAAAUGGCCGCAGUAUUUUGACUGUGCUAAGGUAGCAUAAUCAUUAGUUUUUUAAUUGAAAGCUGGAAUGAAGGGUUGGAUGAAAAAUUAACUGUCUCUAAUUAAUUUUAUUAGAAUUUUAUUUUUAAGUUAAAAAGCUUAAAUAGUUUUAAAAGACGAGAAGACCCUAUAGAGUUUAAUAUAUUUAAUUUAUUGAUAUUUAGAAUUUAUUUUUAAUAAUUAUUAUAUAUUUAAUUGGGGUGAUUAAAAAAUUUAAUAAACUUUUUUUAUAGAUUAAUAUUGAUUAAUAAGUAGAUGAUCCAAAAAUUUUGAUUAUAAGAUAAAAUUACCUUAGGGAUAACAGCGUAAUUUUAUUAGAGAGUU